rnacentral:siRNA from 1 species
AUAGCAGGGAUACCUCGUUCCCCA